rnacentral:rRNA from 1 species
AGUGAACGCUGGCGGUAGGCCUAACACAUGCAAGUCGAACGGCAGCACAGUAAGAGCUUGCUCUUACGGGUGGCGAGUGGCGGACGGGUGAGGAAUACAUCGGAAUCUACUUUUUCGUGGGGGAUAACGUAGGGAAACUUACGCUAAUACCGCAUACGACCUACGGUUGAAAGCAGGGGAUCUUCGGACCUUGCGCGAUUGAAUGAGCCGAUGUCGGAUUAGCUAGUUGGCGGGGUAAAGGCCCACCAAGGCGACGAUCCGUAGCUGGUCUGAGAGGAUGAUAAGCCAAACUGGAACUGAGACACGGUCCAGACGCCUAAGGGAGGCAGCAGUGGGGAAUAUUGGACAAUGGGCGCAAGCCUGAUCCAGCCAUACCGCGUGGGUGAAGAAGGCCUUCGGGUUGUAAAGCCCUUUUGUUGGGAAAGAAAAGCAGCAGGUUAAUACCCCGCUGUUCUGACGGUACCCAAAGAAUAAGCACCGGCUAACUUCGUG